rnacentral:tRNA from 1 species
AGGGCAGUAGCUCAAUUGGUAGAGCAACGGUCUCCAAAACCGUCGGUUAGGGGUUCGAGUCCCUUCUGCCCUGCCA